AUCCAGCUGAUGAUUCGCGGAGUGGACGAAACGCGCGUCCUGGAU
rnacentral:hammerhead_ribozyme from 1 species